AGCGGCCGUCGGUGCAGAUCU
rnacentral:snRNA from 1 species